GGCACCCCAUAGCUAAAAGCUAGGGGCUUGCAGUUGGGGAAGGUUCCUCCACAAAGCUUCUGACCGUCUUCUGCAAGCCUGGGCCUGACCAGACUCAGCCAGGGUUGUCUCUAAGAAGCUCAAGUGGAGCGGAGAACGACUAUCGGGCUACGUUACUGAAGAAAUAGGUACUAGUGCAUGGCAUCUAGAGGAACCUUCCUCAGUGCACUGCUCUACG
rnacentral:sRNA from 22 species